rnacentral:tRNA from 1 species
GCCGAAGUGGUGGAAUUGGUAGACACAGGGGACUUAAAAUCCCCCGGCCGUUAAAAGCCAUAUGGGUUCGAGUCCCUUCUUCGGUACCA